GAAAUGCGAUAAGUAAUGUGAAUUGCAGAAUUCAGUGAAUCAUCGAAUCUUUGAACGCACCUUGCGCCCUUUGGCCAUUCCGAAGGGCAUGCCUGUUUGAGUAUCAUAAACACCUCAACUCUUCAUGGUUUUCCAUGAUGAGCUUGGACUUUGGGGGACUUGCUGGCCUACAGUCAGCUCCUCUAAAAUAAAUCAGCUUGCCAGUGUUUGGUGGGUAUCGCAGGUGUGAUAACUAUCUACGCUUGUGGUUUUCCACCAAGUAACCUUCAGCAGUGGAGGUUCACUGGAGCUCACAGACGUCUCUCCUCAGUGAGGGACAGCCCUUUGAAUGUUUGAUCUCAAAUCAGGUAGGACUACCCGCUGAACUUAA
rnacentral:misc_RNA from 1 species